GAUGAACGCUAGCUACAGGCUUAACACAUGCAAGUCGCGGGGCAGCAUGGGGGUUGCUUGCAAUCCCCGAUGGCGACCGGCGCACGGGUGAGUAACGCGUAUCCAACCUGCCCUUCACCACGGGCUAACCCGGCGAAAGUCGGACUAAUACCGUAUGUUGUCCAUUGACGGCAUCCGAUUUGGACGAAAGGUUUGGCGGUGAAGGAUGGGGAUGCGUCCGAUUAGCUGGACGGCGGGGUGACGGCCCACCGUGGCGACGAUCGGUAGGGGUUCUGAGGGGAAGGUCCCCCACACGGGAACUGAGACACGGUCCAGACUCCUACGGGAGGCAGCAGUGAGGAAUAUUGGUCAAUGGGCGUAAGCCUGAACCAGCCAAGUAGCGUGCAGGAUGACGGCCCUAUGGGUGGUAAACUGCUUUUAUGCGGGGAUAAAGUGGCCCACGUGUGGGUUUUUGCAGGUACCGCAUGAAUAAGGACCGGCUAAUUCCGUG
rnacentral:rRNA from 1 species